rnacentral:rRNA from 1 species
AUUGAACGCUGGCGGCAGGCCUAACACAUGCAAGUCGAGCGAGCGGCGGACGGGUGAGUAAUGUAUGGGGACUGCCCGAUAGAGGGGGAUAACUACUGGAAACGGUGGCUAAUACCGCAUACUAUCGGAUAACCCAUAUGGGAUUAGCUAGUAGGUGGGGUAAAGGCUCACCUAGGCGACGAGGUCUAGCUGGUCUGAGAGGAUGAUCAGCCACACGUGGACUGAGACACUGACCAGACUCCGACGGAGGCAGCAGUGGAGAAUAUUGCGCAAGGGGCGCUAGCCUGAUGCAGCCAUGCCGCGUGUAUGAAGAACGCCUUAGGGUUGUAGAGUACUUUCAGCGGCGAGGCGUUACCCGCAGAAGAAGCACCGGCUAACUCCGUGCCAGCAGCCGCGGUAAUUC